rnacentral:tRNA from 1 species
GGAGAGAUGGCCGAGUGGCUGAAGGCGCACCCCUGCUAAGGGUGUAUGGGGAACCAUCGAGGGUUCGAAUCCUCUCUCCGCCA